UCCAGACUCCUACGGGAGGCAGCAGUGGGGGAUAUUGCACAAUGGGGGGAACCCUGAUGCAGCGACGCCGCGUGGGUGAAGAAGCGCCUCGGCGCGUAAAGCCCUGUCAGCAGGGAAGAAAAUGACGGUACCUGAAGAAGAAGCCCCGGCUAACUACGUGCCAGCAGCCGCGGUAAUACGUAGGAUCCGAGCAUUAUCCGGAGUGACUGGGUGUAAAGAGUUGCGUAGGUGGCAUAAUAAGUAGCUAGUGAAAUCUGGUGGCUCAACCAUUCAGACUAUUAGCUAAACUGUUAAGCUCGAGACCGUUAGGGGUAACUGGAAUUUCUAGUGUAGGAGUGAAAUCCGUAGAUAUUAGAAAGAACACCAAUAGCGUAGGCAGGUUACUGGGACGGUUCUGACACUAAGGCACGAAAGCGUAGGGAGCAAACGGGAUUAGAUACCCGAGUAAC
rnacentral:rRNA from 1 species